rnacentral:rRNA from 1 species
GAUGAACGCUGGCGGCGUGCCUAAUACAUGCAAGUCGAGCGAACAGACGAGGAGCUUGCUCCGCUGACGUUAGCGGCGGACGGGUGAGUAACACGUGGAUAACCUACCUAUAAGACUGGGAUAACUUCGGGAAACCGGAGCUAAUACCGGAUAAUAUAUUAAACCGCAUGGUUCAAUAGUGAAAGACGGUUUUGCUGUCACUUAUAGAUGGAUCCGCGCCGCAUUAGCUAGUUGGUAAGGUAACGGCUUAGCAAGGCAACGAUGCGUAGCCGACCUGAGAGGGUGAUCGGCCACACUGGACCUGAGCCACGGUCCAGACUCCUACGGGGGGCAGCGGUAGGGAAUCUUCCGCAUUGGGCGAAAGCCUGCCGGAGCAACGCCGCGUGAGUGAUGAAGGUCUUCGGAUCGUAAAACUCUGUUAUUAGGGAAGAACAAAUGUGUAAGUAACUAUGCUCGUCUUGACGGUACCUAAUCAGAAAGCCACGGCUAACUACGU